rnacentral:rRNA from 1 species
GAUGAACGCUGGCGGCGUGCCUAAUACAUGCAAGUCGAGCGAACAGACGAGGAGCUUGCUCCUCUGACGUUAGCGGCGGACGGGUGAGUAACACGUGGAUAACCUACCUAUAAGACUGGGAUAACUUCGGGAAACCGGAGCUAAUACCGGAUAAUAUAUUGAACCGCAUGGUUCAAUAGUGAAAGACGGUUUUGCUGUCACUUAUAGAUGGAUCCGCGCCGCAUUAGCUAGUUGGUAAGGUAACGGCUUACCAAGGCAACGAUGCGUAGCCGACCUGAGAGGGUGAUCGGCCACACUGGAACUGAGACACGGUCCAGACUCCUACGGGAGGCAGCAGUAGGGAAUCUUCCGCAAUGGGCGAAAGCCUGACGGAGCAACGCCGCGUGAGUGAUGAAGGUCUUCGGAUCGUAAAACUCUGUUAUUAGGGAAGAACAAAUGUGUAAGUAACUAUGCACGUCUUGACGGUACCUAAUCAGAAAGCCACGGCUAACUA